rnacentral:rRNA from 1 species
UACGGGGGGGGCAAGCGUUGUUCGGAAUUACUGGGCGUAAAGGGCGCGUAGGCGGACCUGCAAGUCGGGGGUGAAAGCCCGAGGCUCAACCUCGGAACUGCCUUCGAUACUGCGGGUCUCGAGUCCGGGAGAGGUGAGUGGAAUUCCUAGUGUAGAGGUGAAAUUCGUAGAUAUUAGGAAGAACACCAGUGGCGAAGGCGGCUCACUGGCCCGGUACUGACGCUGAGGCACGAAAGCGUGGGGAGCAAACAGG